GAAGAAGAAGAAGUUUGAUAUUGUGACAGAUGGCCGAAUUCACAGAUAAAUGAUCAUUAUGUCAAAAAGACCGAAGCCCUCUGGUGCCCAGGGAAGAAAAAAAGAAGAGAAGAGGAAGAAAAACGGGAUAAAGAUAGAGGGGCACCAGGUGAAAUCUUGCCUAGGGCAGCAAAUUGGCCAGGACCGGCCCUGAUGGCAACAACGUUGUAAAAUUGUCUAUAACUUUACACAGAAAAGCCGCUGAAUUAGACACACCCCCUCUUUUCAAAACCCUGUCCUCCAAAGACUUGAAGCACACCAAUGAGCAACAGCAUGUCAUUUUAGAAUCACAGAGACUUCCUAUUUAAGGACACCAAAUUCAGUCAUAUCUGUCAGGUGGCACUGAUGAGACGAGUACGCUGGGGCCACUGUGUGCAAGCACUGUAGGUAUAGCUGCAGGCCAAGGUCCAAAAAGGGGUGGGAGCUCCAAACAGCCAGCAAAGACAUACGAGCCCCUAUCCCAUCUCUGGGUGGAAGUUCCACCAUCUUUGUAGUAUGCCCAACCCCCUCCUGGACUAACUAAUUUUGCUUUCUUGUAUGCACACGCUGAAAAAAGUGAAAAGUGCAGUUGUGAUCUUUUUGUUCUAUUUCUACAUGAUCAAAAUUUAAUUAGUUGGUUUGACAAAAUAUAAGUUUAAUAAGAAUAUGAUAUGAAAUAAUAUUUUUGACUUGAGUAAAACCAGUUAAUUAAGAUUUUAAAACAUGAAGCCCCUUUGUUGGUUACUUGUCAGUACAAGAGACACAGUGCAGGAGACAGACAUACACAUCUCUGACUCCCCACUUGCAGUAACAUACUUUUACA